UAUUUGGGAGACCCCUUACUUAUAUAUCCGCCUCGAUAUAAGAGAACGGAGUUGAGCGUUCCUCAGCUACAUGCUUGCUAGACAGCAUGUAAUCAUAUGCAGUUUGAGCAUUGUCAGUUUAUGGUUUGUUAUACAUGUUGGCAAAUUAGAAAAUCUAAACCAAUAAGAGAAUAGAGGAGAACAAGAAGCCGGCUGCUAUGUGUGCGUGCACUGUGCCACACUUGCCGCGCGCUCUAAAGCCGGAGAACCAACCACGUGGUAACUCCAAAGUGGGCUUGAGGGGGAAAUGGUUGACACAAGUUAGCACAGCCUCAAAGUCAGAAUUGGCUAUAUCGUAAUAUUUUUUUUUACGUUUGAUUUUUCUUCUUAAUUUAAGGUUAGGCAUAAUGUUAGCAGUGUGGUUAGGGUAAAUUGUAGAAAUAGGCGGGGUUUAUGACUUUGACUGCUGUAACUAGUGACGUCCGAAAAAACUGUUGGAGGGACAUGGCGCCGCACAGCAAAGCCAUCCUACUCGCCUUAUCGUCUCACGUUACCGGAGCUUGGCAGAACUGAGGGUUUGGGCGAUCAGAGGGCAGACGACCACCACGUUGGAACACCACAGAGCCUUGCUCCUAGGGCUGAACGAUUAAUUGCAUUCGCGAUAAUAUCGCGAUUUGACUGAACGCGAUUUUCUAAUCGCAACGUGCGCGAUUUGAGGUGGUCACGUGACGCGACUUUUCAUGCUGUCCAGCGCAAUGGCCUCUUGCUCGACGGAACAGUCAGAAACUGACACAGCUGAUACUUUAAUAUCGAAGAGGAACAGCACGUCGGUGGUGUGGAACUAUUUUGGUUUUAAAAA